UGCGUAGGCGGCGCGGUAAGUCGGGUGUGAAAUCUCGGAGCUUAACUCCGAAACUGCAUUCGAUACUGCCGUGCUUGAGGACCGGAGAGGAGACUGGAAUUUACGGUGUAGCGGUGAAAUGCGUAGAUAUCGUAAGGAAGACCAGUGGCGAAGGCGGGUCUCUGGACAGUUCCUGACGCUGAGGCACGAAGGCCAGGGGAGCAAACG
rnacentral:rRNA from 1 species